rnacentral:lncRNA from 1 species
GUGUGCAUUCCUUGUAUCAUCAUUUCAAUUCUGUUCUGGAAAUACAAAAGAAUUCUAGAUCCAUGCAUAUACCCUCUUAUUUCUCCUUUUGUUAGUUAUAUAUAGCCUAUAAAGCUAUACAGGAAUACAACAAUUUAAAAUAAAGACAAGAAUGGAUUACCAACAACAGGACCAAUGGAAAUCUCUGACAAAAUGAAAGAC